GUUAUCUAUGCCACCUAGAUGCCUGUAUAUCUCGUUAACCUUUGACCUUUGAUCUCUGGUUCAUUAGAAAUAUUUUGCCUGUCUGGCCCCACUAUAAUUCGGUGCCAUUUUUUCCGGGCUUUGCAAUUUAUGCAAUUCUACCCAAAUAGAUUAUUGUAUAAAAAUAUGAAGAAUUAUCGAAAUGUCCUAUCCAGGAAGUUAUUCAAUAAUCGAUAUAAAAUAAGUUUAUUAAAAUCUUGUGGGCAAAAAUAUAUUUUACUGCUAAUGAAGUUAAUGAAAUGCAUUAUGUUAAAUAAUUACGUAGCAAUGUCCAUAAUGAAAAUAGCUACAUGUUUGUUAAUGUGUAAAAAGUCUUAUGCUAAAAGAAAUAUUGGAUAUGUCGAAUUUUGUCGGUGAGAGAAGUUAGAGAAAAAUAUAGUAGUGUUUUUCAGAAUAUGAGGAUAUCUGAUAUCUGAUCAACAAGG
rnacentral:lncRNA from 1 species